rnacentral:misc_RNA from 1 species
UAUCCCUCUGAUCCGAUUGCAUCCCACGUGCAGUCGGUCGACAUGGGCCUUCAGCACUGAUUGCCUCGAAUUGCUCGCGAUCGUCGUGGUAGACAAAAGGGAUGUGGCAGUGAUGCCAUCCAGUGUUGUCGACGAUCAAUCCGUGCUC